rnacentral:lncRNA from 1 species
UAAAUUUUUGUGAUUUUAUGCGUGGGAUAGAUGUGUUUUUGUCCGACAGGUCCAGGUAGAAGAACCAGGGAGCUCAGAGCAAGACAGUGUGAGAUUCCGGCAAGCAAAUGAGUGAAAAAGCCCGGUACAUGAGGCCUGGCACGGGUCGUGUCAGGCAAAGGAGGGCGUGGCAAGAAAGACAGUGGCCUGACACUGCCACCCGUGUCAGGCAUCAACCCCCCG